rnacentral:misc_RNA from 1 species
GAUGAAGAACGCAGCGAAAUGCGAUAAGUAAUGUGAAUUGCAGAAUUCAGUGAAUCAUCGAAUCUUUGAACGCACAUUGCGCCCGCCAGUAUUCUGGCUGGCAUGCCUGUUCGAGCGUCAUUACAACCCUCAGGCCCCCGGGCCUGGCGUUGGGGAUCGGCGGAAGCCCCCUGCGGGCACAACGCCGUCCCCCAAAUACAGUGGCGGUCCCGCCGCAGCUUCCAUUGCGUAGUAGCUAACACCUCGCAACUGGAGAGCGGCGCGGCCACGCCGUAAAACACCCAACUUCUGAAUGUUGACCUCGAAUCAGGUAGGAAUACCCGCUGAACUUAAGCAUAUCAAUAAGCGGAGGA